rnacentral:rRNA from 1 species
UGGGUACGUACCUACUAAGAACUGGGACAACUUCGGGAAACCGGAGCUAAUACCGGAUAAGAUAUCGAACCGCAUGGUUCGAUAGUGAAAGAUGGUUUUGCUAUCACUUAUAGAUGGACCCGCGCCGUAUUAGCUAGUUGGUGAGGUAACGGCUCACCAAGGCAACGAUACGUAGCCGACCUGAGAGGGUGAUCGGCCACACUGGAACUGAGACACGGUCCAGACUCCUACGGGAGGCAGCAGNG